CCCCCCCGCCCGCGGCUUCCACACUAACUCGCCGCGUCCGUGCCCCUCGCUGCCGCGCCCUCCGCCGCUCCCGUCCCGGAGCUCGGAGCUCUCAGCCCGCCCCCUGCCGCGCCCCCGGCCGCCGCUCACCUCCAGGGGACAGGAAUGAUGGUUGCUGAGGGCAAAGUGGACGGAGCAGACCCAAAGGAGGAGGUGGAGGCCUGCACAGAUGGUCUUCGGUGUCCUGGGUCCCCCACAUCCGCCAGUCCCAAGAACCAGCCCUUCAGCUAAACAAACUGCGGACCAAAAAGGUGAAGCCAUUCGUCCGAAGCUGUGCAGUGAUGGAGCCAGGACCGUCAUCUCCGCUUUCGAUGGGCCCUUCCCAUUGGUGUAACCCGGACGCAGAGCAAACCCCAUAUGCCCCUCUACACAGCACACACACGCCCCACCACGCACACCGCACAUCACACACACAUCACACACACACACACACACACACACACCCCCUGACGCACAACAGACACACACAUGAACGGAGGGGAAAGGGUUGGGAAGAAAUUUUUAUCUCCUGUUUCAAGAAAAACACCAAAGUCGUGUUGAAGGAAAAGCCAGCAGCCCGCGGGCUCCACGGUUUUUGUUUCGAUUCGCUCGCUCCACACUCUCCGGGUUCAGGCCCCUUAUGGAACACACCGCGCGCCGAGCGCGAACGCCGGCAACCCGCUUGCGAGCACCUCCCCCGCCGCCCCGCACCUGGCGCCAACUGCCUCGGGGCGCA